rnacentral:pre_miRNA from 1 species
AUAUGAAUCAGCCAGGGCUCUUGCUAAAAAUGCAGAUUCUGAUUAGGGGUGGGGGGCGGCUGAGAGUCUGCAUUUCUAACAAGCUCCCAUAUGAUGUCAGA